UCCCUGGAGGACUAGUGGUUAGGCCUUGUGCUCGCAACGCUGCGGCCUGGGUUCGAUUCCCAGCCAGGGAA